rnacentral:lncRNA from 1 species
UUCCACUUGGCUUACAAAAGCAGCACGAUCCUUCCUCACAAACUCUUUAAGCAUCACUGUUAUUUCCAAAACCUGGCUCAGAGCGUUUUAAAAGACAGCUCAGCGCAUCAAACACAUCCAGCCCUGCGCUGGGAGUGCAAAUCCGGUAUUGUAAUUACUAAAACGCAGGAGCACCCUGCGAUAAGCGAUGCGAUAAACCCUUACACGUCACAAAGACUUCCGAGCCCCCCGCCCUGGGCAGCUGCGCUCCCCGGGACCGGCGGAUCUAGGGUGGGCAGGGGCGGAGGGCAGCAACAGGCAGAGCGCUGUCCGCCUCCCGCCCGCGCGCACCGUGACUGUGCAAGAUGCCCGCCCGCGGGGCAGGUGUCACCGAGGCGCGAGCAGCGCGAAGGGUCGGAGCGGAGCGCAGCGCUCGGGGCAGCGCGCACGGCGAGGGGCGCCGCGCCGCACGACCGCCCCGCUCGGCGGGCGCGGUUGCCCGGGUUACGGCGAGGCACGGCCCGGCCCCGGGGCGCCGCCGGCCGUGGGGGAGGGCGCCGCGCGCCGAAAGGAAAGCGCCGGCCGCCGCCCCCGCCUCCCCGGGCCGCUCCCCGCCGCCGCUCGGCCCCCUCCGCGCGUCCCCCCCUCGGCCGCCGCGCGCGGCCUUCGCUGCGGCAUCGCGUCCCCGCGCCGGGCGGCUCUGAGGAGCGGGGCCCGGGGCGGCCGCCCCGCUCCCGGCACCUGCUGGCCUCCGCCUGGCGCCCCGCACCUACCACACGGAGCCGUAGGCGCCCGAGCCCACGGGGUAAGUCCAUAUGAAGAGAAUGCAUUACUCACAGGCUUCUCAACCACUGUGGAUGCGUGUGUACAAACUUGCAUAAAAGAGCUACAUCUGCUCUGGCCUAUUCCUGUGAGCUUCAGUGCUACAAAAUGUGGUAAGCAAUUGUGAAUUCUCAUUCAUCUUUAACUCUUUGUGAAUGGCUAAAAGAAACAGUUAUCAAUGCUAAAACCUGUAAAAACAGAAGAAAAAGCAUUAAUAAAGUACCAGCCUAGCUUAAUAUGGGAUGCACGUAUUCACAUGUCUUCAUUUGCCAUCUGCUACUCAUCUACAGAAUUUUGUGCUUCAAUCUGGAGCUGUUCAUUUCCCAUAAAGCAGCUAUGCUCACCCUCGUCAUACCGAAACUACUGCAUCACUCUCUAUUGCUGUAUUGUUCAGUCACUGUUUGAGGUAUUGUGAGGAUUCAGCCCCCCAGCUACCUCAGAAAAAUUGUACAAAUUCAGUUGUUCUAUAGUAUAUGAACCUCUCCAACCUAUCUGCAGGUGUUCAGGCUUUUUCCGCCAGCAUGACUCCAUUGUACAGUGUGCUAUUCCACUAAGGUGAAAAGUGGAUUUUCUACUUCAGUAACAAACAAGAUCCUCCUCAUUGAUUCUGUAAUGUCACCUUCUCAGUUUCAGCUUCAGAUCCUGGCAGUGGACCCUGCUGAACAGAAUUCUGGUUGCUCAGAACGAGUGUGUCAGCGGGACUCCAAAUAAUGGCUGUAACGUGACAAAUUGGAUGGCAGAUGUUGAGCAGCAAAGGCAACGACAAACCCUAUGGAGGCAUGCCCUCUGCUGAGGCUUCACAGGAUCUUGAUAAACCCAACGGAACAGCUGUUGCACGGCUUGGCACUGUGCCUUUACCAGGCACACUUGGACCCAUGACAUACUUUGCUUGCUAAGUAUCUAGAUCCAACUUUCAACUAAUAUUAUUAUAGCAGGAUGGUAAGACAGUAAUGUGAUGUACUUCAAAUAAUUUCAAACAGCCAUUUGGAUUAAAACUGUGAUCCAUGUGACCCACAUUCUGUUCAAAAGCUGCCACCAGUAAAGGCCCCAUUUUCAAAAUCUCAUCCUCAUUCAGGAUGUAUUUGAUACAUAUGGGAUCCUUAAGGCUAUUCAGUCUGUGUAUCUACUGCAAUCUCAUCAUAUUUCUCUCACUGAACCCACAAAACUGUUGCAAGAGAGUAAUUGGUUAGUCCUCUCUUUUCUUGUACUACAUAAGCUCUGCCCAUAGAUCAAAAAAUCUUAUAUGUGUACUGUCCUCUUAAAGCAAAUACAGUCAUAAACCUUUGUAUAUAGGGUUGUGGAGACGUGACAGAUAUCUAGUAAUAGUUCAGAAAUAAAUAUCAGUUGGCACCACUGUCUACCUGUUUUAUAUCAUUGUAAGUAACUGUACACAGUUAAAAGAAAUGAAUAAAAGCAAUGACAGA